rnacentral:rRNA from 1 species
AUUGAACGCUGGCGGCACGCCUAACACAUGCAAGACGAGCGGUAGCAGGACCUGUAGCAAUACAGGUUGCUGACGAGCGGCGGACGGGUGAGUAAUACGUAGGAACUUGCCUUUUAGUGGGGGAUAACUAAGGGAAACUUUAGCUAAUACCGCAUAUUCUCGAGAGAGGAAAGCUGCCGUAAGGUGGCGCUAGAAGAGAGGCCUGUGUCCGAUUAGCUAGUUGGUGAGGUAAGAGCUCACCAAGGCGACGAUCGGUAACUGGUCUGAGAGGACGACCAGUCACACUGGGACUGAGACACGGCCCAGACUCCUACGGGAGGCAGCAGUGGGGAAUAUUGGGCAAUGGGGGCAACCCUGAUCCAGCGAUGCCGCGUGAGUGAAGAAGGCCCUCGGGUCGUAAAGCUCUUUAGGUUGGGAAGAAGGGUGUUGGAGGAAAUGCCAAUACUUUGACGGUACCGACAGAAUAAGCACCGGCAAACUCUGUGCCAGCCGCCGCUGUAA